GCUGAAGCCGACAGCUUGCUGUUGGUGGAUGAGUGGCGAACGGGUGAGUAACACGUGAGUAACCUGCCCCUGAUUUCGGGAUAAGCCUGGGAAACUGGGUCUAAUACCGGAUACGACCAUCCCUUGCAUGAGGGUUGGUGGAAAGUUUUUCGAUCGGGGAUGGGCUCGCGGCCUAUCAGCUUGUUGGUGGGGUAAUGGCCCACCAAGGCGACGACGGGUAGCCGGCCUGAGAGGGCGACCGGCCACACUGGGACUGAGACACGGCCCAGACUCCUACGGGAGGCAGCAGUGGGGAAUAUUGCACAAUGGGGGAAACCCUGAUGCAGCGACGCAGCGUGCGGGAUGACGGCCUUCGGGUUGUAAACCGCUUUCAGCAGGGAAGAAGCGAAAGUGACGGUACCUGCAGAAGAAGUACCGGCUAACUACGUGCCAGCAGCCGCGGUAAUACGUAGGGUACGAGCGUUGUCCGGAAUUAUUGGGCGUAAAGAGCUCGUAGGUGGUUGGUCACGUCUGCUGUGGAAACGCAACGCUUAACGUUGCGCGUGCAGUGGGUACGGGCUGACUAGAGUGCAGUAGGGGAGUCUGGAAUUCCUGGUGUAGCGGUGAAAUGCGCAGAUAUCAGGAGGAACACCGGUGGCGAAGGCGGGACUCUGGGCUGUA
rnacentral:rRNA from 1 species